AUAUACGCGACCCUGAAAUAUCUUCCCUUGUUGCAGCUAAAUUGAGAGAGUUCCACAAUCUUGACAUGCCUGGUCCGAAGAAUGUACUUCUCUGGGAGCGAUUGAGGACUUGGCUUAGUCAUGCAAAGAAGAUCUGUUCCCUGAGAACUGCUAAAGAAUUCAGCUUGGACAUUCUCGGGGAGGAAAUCAGCAUCCUUGAGAAAGAGUUAACACAAGGGUGUCAAGAUAUUGGGUUUUGUCACAAUGAUUUGCAAUAUGGUAACAUAAUGAUGGAUGAAGAGAC